GGGAAGGUGGCUCAGUGGUAGAGUGCUUGCCUUGCAUGCAUGAGGCCCUGGCUUCCAUUCCU
rnacentral:tRNA from 1 species